rnacentral:misc_RNA from 1 species
CCCUUCUUUUUGCCUUCAGGAUAUAUCUUAUUGCUGUCUGAAGUUCCAUUCUCACCGUAUAUGUCAACAUUAUCCUCUUGCUCUCUUCGGUUUUGUUUCUGACAAAUAUUCCACUUCUGAAUUGCCUCAACUAAUAACCUUCCAUCACUUUCUGGAAUAGAUUCAUGAGCUGUCGCUAAUCCAGACACAACAGUUGUUGAAUCUAUACCCGCUGAUAUUCGCAACAAAUAUUGUAUCAUACAGCCCGAAGGAGAGAAAACAAGAAGGCUGUACUUUGUCUUCAAUGUGGU